CAUGUCACCACAGUGGUGACCCUUCUCUCUGACUCAUUUCCCAUUAUGAGCACAAUUAGCGUGCAGCAUGUGUCCUGGGAGAUUAAUGAUCCGCUGGAGGGAAGAAAGAGGAACUUGGGGAAUGGAUCUGGGUGUAGUCAGAGCUCGCCUCUCCCUGGGAGCUGCCUUGGUGCUGUAAAGGAUCUCAUGUCUUUUGCCAGCUUUGAUGAAACUUGCUAGUUGGAAAGCAGAGUGAAAUCUCAGGCUCUACAACUCUUGACAUAAGUAUUUUAUUCAUUUUUGGUGUCUAUGUUCUUGAAGUACUUAAGAGAUUUGGGGCUAUGCAAGUAAUAGACCAACUUUGUGAUUCAUAUUAAAAUUAAGUGAUUUAAACGCAGGAUUUUUAAUUUGAAAUUAUUUAAGUUUAUAAACAGUAUGGGAACAUUUAGAAAGACCUGGAUUCAUUCUGUUUAUAAUUGUAAUCCAUUAAAUUUAUGAAAAUUACCUAAGAAAUCUGAAAAGGUUUGGUUUAGCCAUCAGGCAAUUGAAGUACCUAAACAAGGAAAUAAAAUAUAUUAAAUUUAUAAAUCUUACUUUAAAUGUUUGAAUGAGUUAAAUAACUCCGUUUGUAUUGGGACCAAACUCUUUAACUCUUUAAGACUGCCUUAAAUCAUUUUGUUAAAAAUCUUAGAUUGAUUUCCACUUCUAUGUAGAGAGUUAGAAAGUAUAUCACCUCUACCCUAACAACAAGAAUAUGACAAAUGAAAUACAAAAUGAUAAUGUUCCUUGAACUCAUCAGAGGACUGACAUCACAGGGCAACUAAGCAACUAGAAUUCCAAAGAAGGACAAGCCCCUCCAAAGACAGGAAGCAUGAGGGCAGGCUCAUCAGUGUCAGAGCAGGGGAGACCAGCACAGACACCUUACAAGCAGAAUGACCUUCUGUGGCUACAGAGAAAGGCUUCAGGCAAAGAGAUGCAGCUCUGGGCCCCAGAGUCCGCUGGAGCACACUGAAGCUGGAGCACACUGAAGUGGAAGAUGGGGCUGCAGACAGAGACUGGGCAGCCUCUGCUCCAGGGAGGCCCGAGAGCCAGAGAGCAGAUUCCAUAAGAAGAAUAACUCCCAUUCCUCAUGCAUGAGACCCUCUGCUAAAUGCUUCCUGUGCACCACCUCCAGAAAUCCUCCCAAGCCAGGACACCAGCAGUAUUACAGGAACUGGAUGACAAAAAGAAGAGCCGAUAUAACCAGGAACCUACUCUGGCCACCCCAAGUGCUCCGCAUCAAGACUCAGCUGCAGAGAUGACUUCAGUGCAAGUCACAUACACACCAUUGGGCUGGUACCCGUGGCAGCUCUGCAGGGCUUCCAUAUUGGUCAUGGAUUUGGAUGGUGAGAAGAGCUGAGACAGACGGCACAGGUUCUCAGGAUGCUUGAGGCAGGUUGAUUGAGAAUCAUCCAGGGAGAUGGGGGAAAUUCUGCCUUCACAA
rnacentral:lncRNA from 1 species